rnacentral:rRNA from 1 species
AUUGAACGCUGGCGGCAGGCCUAACACAUGCAAGUCGAGCGUGCGGCGGACGGGUGAGUAAUGUAUGGGGACUGCCCGAUAGAGGGGGAUAACUACUGGAAACGGUGGCUAAUACCGCAUACUAUCGGAUAACCCAUAUGGGAUUAGCUAGUAGGUGGGGUAAAGGGUCACCUAGGCGACGAGCUCUAGCUGGUCUGAGAGGAUGAUCAGGUGAAGUGUGACUGAGAGACGGCGCAGACGCCUACGGAGGCAGCAGUGUAGAAUAUGGCACAAUGGGCGCAAGCCUGAUGCAGCCAUGCCGCGUGUCUGAGGAGGGCCUUAGGGUUUUAGAGUUCUUUCAGCGGUGAGGCGUUACCCGCAGAAGAAGCACCGGCUAACUCCGUGCCAGCAGCCGCGGUAAUUC